rnacentral:rRNA from 1 species
AGAGUUUGAUCCUGGCUCAGAACGAACGCUGGCGGCAUGCCUAACACAUGCAAGUCGAACGCCAUCCUCUGGAUGGAGUGGCGCACGGGUGAGUAACGCGUGGGAACCUGCCUUUUUCUGCGGGACAACGAUUGGAAACGAUCGCUAAUACCGCAUACGCCCUACGGGGGAAAGGUCCGCCGGAGAGAGAGGGGCCCGCGUUUGAUUAGCUAGUUGGUGAGGUAAUGGCUCACCAAGGCGACGAUCAAUAGCUGGUCUGAGAGGAUGAUCAGCCACACUGGGACUGAGACACGGCCCAGACUCCUACGGGAGGCAGCAGUGGGGAAUAUUGGACAAUGGGGGCAACCCUGAUCCAGCAAUGCCGCGUGUGUGAUGAAGGCCUUAGGGUUGUAAAGCACUUUCACUGGCGAAGAUGAUGACGGUAACCANAGAAGAAGCCCCGGCUAACUUCGUGCCAGCAGCCGCGGUAAUACNAAGGGGGCGAGCGUUGUUCGGAAUUACUGGGCGUAAAGGGCGUGUA